rnacentral:rRNA from 3 species
GAAGCGGCAACAGCUCAAAUUUGAAAUCUGGCGCAAGCCCGAGUUGUAAUUUGUAGAGGAUGCUUCUGGGUAGCGGCCGGUCUAAGUUCCUUGGAACAGGACGUCAUAGAGGGUGAGAAUCCCGUAUGUGACUGGCUUGCACCCUCCACGUAGCUCCUUCGACGAGUCGAGUUGUUUGGGAAUGCAGCUCUAAAUGGGAGGUAAAUUUCUUCUAAAGCUAAAUACCGGCCAGAGACCGAUAGCGCACAAGUAGAGUGAUCGAAAGAUGAAAAGCACUUUGGAAAGAGAGUUAAAAAGCACGUGAAAUUGUUGAAAGGGAAGCGCCCGCAACCAGACUUUGCGGCAGUGUUCGGCCGGUCUUCUGACCGGUUUACUCGCUGUCGUGAGGCCAUCAUCGUCUGGGACCGCUGGAUAAGACCUUAGGAAUGUGGCUCCCUUCGGGGAGUGUUAUAGCCUCUGGUGAUGCAGCGCGUCUCGGGCGAGGUCCGCGCUUCGGCAAGGAUGAUGGCGUAAUGGUUGUCGGCGGCCCGUCUUGAAACACGGACCAAGGAGUCUAACAUCUAUGCGAGUGUUCGGGUGUCAAACCCCUACGCGUAAUGAAAGUGAACGGAGGUGGGAACUUUUUGUGCACCAUCGACCGAUCCUGAUGUCCUCGGAUGGAUUUGAGUAAGAGCAUAGCUGUUGGGACCCGAAAGAUGGUGAACUAUGCCUGAAUAGGGUGAAGCCAGAGGAAACUCUGGUGGA